rnacentral:lncRNA from 1 species
GCACUGAAAGAGAAAUUGCAAGGAAUACCUUGCAACUAUGAACAGGCAAAUAUUGCUAAAGGUUUGUAUGUGAUACAAACUAACUUAUCAUUAAGUACUUCAAUUUUAGAUUCUUGGGUAUUGGAUACCGCCUAUGGCUCACAUCUUUACAAAUCGUUGUAGAGUCUGCAGGAAAUAAAGAGUCUAAAUAAAGGUGACUUCAGGCUGUUCGGUGCU